UACGUAGGGACCGAGCGUUGUCCGGAUUCAUUGGGCGUAAAGAGCUCGUAGGCGGUCUGUCGCGUCUGCUGUGAAAACCUGGGGCUUAACCCCGGGCCUGCAGUGGGUACGGGCAGACUAGAGUGCGGUAGGGGAGACUGGAAUUCCUGGUGUAGCGGUGAAAUGCGCAGAUAUCAGGAGGAACACCGGUGGCGAAGGCGGGUCUCUGGGCCGUAACUGACGCUGAGGAGCGAAAGCAUGGGGAGCGAACAGG
rnacentral:rRNA from 1 species